rnacentral:tRNA from 1 species
CUGGGACGUAGCCAAGUGGCAAGGCAGUGGUUUUUGGUACCACCAACCAAAGGUUCGAAUCCUUUCGUCCCAGA